AGCCCAGUGUAGUAACAUUUUAAGAACUGAGUUAAAGUCAAUUAAAAAUGCACCUAAUAAAACUGAAGGUGAUUUCAAUUCUACACUAAUUAAAUCUAUAAAAAAUAAAUUACAAAAUUCAAACUUAACCCUGACAAAAGCUGACAAAGGAAACUGUGUUGUUAUCUUAAAUAAAAAUGACUAUGACACUAAAGUGACUCAAUUUAUCCAAGAAAAUAAUUUUCGAAAACAGAGUGCAAGAUUACCAUCAUUUAUCAAAAAAGUGAAUGACACCUUAAAAUUUUGUACAAAUUUAAUCAAUCCUCAAUUAAGAUAUUUUCUUUCAGCUAACAACACAAAUGUUCCUAAACUUUAUGGCCUUCUUAAAGUUCAUAAAUCAGAUAUACCUGCUUCAAUGCCCAUAAGACCGGUGGUAGCAUACACUAACUCUCCAACAUAUAAAUUAGCUAAAUGGCUUAAUAAUCACUUAAUUACUACUAUAGAUUGUCACUUUCCCUACACUAUAAAAAAUAAUAUUCAACUUGUGGACAAAAUCAAAGAUAUCAUUAUCCCUGAAAAUGCCUUUUUUAUCUCUCUAGAUGUAACAAAUCUCUUUACUAACAUUCCUAUAUUCGAGGUAGUGGAUAUUAUUAAAAACAAAUUAUUUAAUUCUACAUUGACCAAUAUCGAAACACAAGAAAUAAUAAAUAUCCUAGAAAUUUGCUUAAAACAAAAUUUCUUUAAUUUUGAUAAUGAAACCUAUAUACAAGAGGAUGGCCUAGCCAUGGGAUCUCCAUUAUCCCCCCUCUUAGCUGAUACAUUUAUGAAUCACUUCGAAAGUAAUAAUAUUUUGAAUAACAACCCCUACCUAUCUAAUAUACUGUAUUAUUAUAGAUAUGUAGAUGACUGCAUUUUAUUAUGGAAUGGCAAUAAACAAAAUCUUAGUGAUUUUCUAUCAUUCAUUAAUAACAUUCAUCCAAAAAUAAAAUUUACAUUAGAAGUGGAAAUCAAUAAAACCAUAACCUUUUUAGACUUACUUAUUAAAAACGUAAAUAAUAAACAUGAUUUUGAGAUAUAUAGAAAACCUAGCCACACUGGAACAAUCAUACACAAUGAGUCAUUCCAUCCUUUUUCACAUAAAGCAGCAGCUUUAAAUAGUUAUGUAAAUAGAGCACUACAGAUUCCUCAAACAACUGAAAGCAGGGAUAGAGAGUUGAAUAUUAUCAAACAAAUUGCCCAAACUCAUAAUUUUUCUCCCAAUUUAGUAGACAAAAUAAAAAAUAAAUUUCUAUUACGUAAUGCGUUCCAAAAUGUCUACAUACCACAUCAAACAAUAUUAAGUAAUCAGCCAGUAAAUAAGUUCAUUUCACUUACAUACAAUGGAGCAGUUUCUUAUAAAAUCCAACGAGUUCUAACUUCUUUAAAUGUUAAGGUUGCCUUUAAAUCGAGCAAUUCAUUAGGUAACUUAUUGAUUAAUAAUAAAGACAAAACGGAUCCGUUAUCUUGUAAAGGAAUUUAUAAGCUUUAUUGUGAGUGUGGUUAUUUUUAUGUAGGUAGAACGAAGCGUAGUUUUAAAGCUCGGUUUAGCGAACAUGACCGAUGCAUUAGACAAAACAAUCCUGAGUCUUUAUUUGCUAAGCAUAUUAUGGAGACCGGUCACCCAUCGAAUCUACUAGAUAAUUACAAGAUCUUACAUAGAGUUCAGGACAACAUAAAUCUAAAUAAUCUUGAAUUACUCGAGAUUAAAAGAUCUCUCAAAAAAGAAUAUGAUAAAUCUCUUAAUAUUCAGAUUAACAUUCCUGAAACUAAUUUAAUUAAUAUUUUAUUUGAAUAACUCUUCCCUCCCUUUCCGGUUAAUUUAUUUUAAUAUAAACCCCGUUGUUUUCUUAAUAUAAACUGGUAGAGACAUCUGUUUAACAGUUUUAAAAUAUUUUAAAGUUACUGUGGGUACCGCUAUCUAGUACCCAUUCGGUUAUAGGAUAUAAAAUAUAGAUUUCUUUGUAACGUUCUUUCUUAAUUAUGAAAACUAGAUAUAGAUGACUCUGUUGGUCAGAUUAGUUUGAAUGGCGGUUAUCAUAGUUUUUAGAUCGUUUUGUCUAUUGUGUUGUAACGGUGCUUUUUAGAUGUUAUUGUUUUAAACCUAAGUGUAUUAUUUGUUAUCUUACGAUAAGAUUUACUUGCUUAAUUUUAGCUGUACCGUUCUAUAUGUGCUUUUGUUUUGUUUUGACAAAUCUCGUUUUUAACAAUUCCUCGACCUGAUGAUGCGAUGAUAUUGUAAUCGCGAAACCGGUCGUCAUAAUAAAAGGAAUUUCUGGUGAAAUAAGACCUUUAAUUUCUACUGUGUUUGCUAGCAAAUACCUAUAAAAAUACAUCCCAGAACAUGGACACCAUUCUCCAAACUAGAUAUAUCCAUCUCUGUCUCACUUAUCACUUUUGCCGCAAGUUUGUCCUUGUCUAACUAAAUAAACAAAACAAAACAUGAUGGAA
rnacentral:misc_RNA from 1 species